AGCGUACACGGUGGAUGCCCUGGCAGUCAGAGGCGAUGAAGGACGUGCUAAUCUGCGAUAAGCGUCGGUAAGGUGAUAUGAACCGUUAUAACCGGCGAUUUCCGAAUGGGGAAACCCAGUGUGUUUCGACACACUAUCAUUAACUGAAUCCAUAGGUUAAUGAGGCGAACCGGGGGAACUGAAACAUCUAAGUACCCCGAGGAAAAGAAAUCAACCGAGAUUCCCCCAGUAGCGGCGAGCGAACGGGGAGCAGCCCAGAGCCUGAAUCAGUGUGUGUGUUAGUGGAAGCGUCUGGAAAGGCGCGCGAUACAGGGUGACAGCCCCGUACACAAAAAUGCACAUGCUGUGAGCUCGAUGAGUAGGGCGGGACACGUGGUAUCCUGUCUGAAUAUGGGGGGACCAUCCUCCAAGGCUAAAUACUCCUGACUGACCGAUAGUGAACCAGUACCGUGAGGGAAAGGCGAAAAGAACCCCGGCGAGGGGAGUGAAAAAGAACCUGAAACCGUGUACGUACAAGCAGUGGGAGCACUCUUUAUGGGGUGACUGCGUACCUUUUGUAUAAUGGGUCAGCGACUUAUAUUCUGUAGCAAGGUUAACCGAAUAGGGGAGCCGAAGGGAAACCGAGUCUUAACUGGGCGUUAAGUUGCAGGGUAUAGACCCGAAACCCGGUGAUCUAGCCAUGGGCAGGUUGAAGGUUGGGUAACACUAACUGGAGGACCGAACCGACUAAUGUUGAAAAAUUAGCGGAUGACUUGUGGCUGGGGGUGAAAGGCCAAUCAAACCGGGAGAUAGCUGGUUCUCCCCGAAAGCUAUUUAGGUAGCGCCUCGUGAAUUCAUCUCCGGGGGUAGAGCACUGUUUCGGCAAGGGGGUCAUCCCGACUUACCAACCCGAUGCAAACUGCGAAUACCGGAGAAUGUUAUCACGGGAGACACACGGCGGGUGCUAACGUCCGUCGUGAAGAGGGAAACAACCCAGACCGCCAGCUAAGGUCCCAAAGUCAUGGUUAAGUGGGAAACGAUGUGGGAAGGCCCAGACAGCCAGGAUGUUGGCUUAGAAGCAGCCAUCAUUUAAAGAAAGCGUAAUAGCUCACUGGUCGAGUCGGCCUGCGCGGAAGAUGUAACGGGGCUAAACCAUGCACCGAAGCUGCGGCAGCGACGCUUAUGCGUUGUUGGGUAGGGGAGCGUUCUGUAAGCCUGUGAAGGUGUGCUGUGAGGCAUGCUGGAGGUAUCAGAAGUGCGAAUGCUGACAUAAGUAACGAUAAAGCGGGUGAAAAGCCCGCUCGCCGGAAGACCAAGGGUUCCUGUCCAACGUUAAUCGGGGCAGGGUGAGUCGACCCCUAAGGCGAGGCCGAAAGGCGUAGUCGAUGGGAAACAGGUUAAUAUUCCUGUACUUGGUGUUACUGCGAAGGGGGGACGGAGAAGGCUAUGUUGGCCGGGCGACGGUUGUCCCGGUUUAAGCGUGUAGGCUGGUUUUCCAGGCAAAUCCGGAAAAUCAAGGCUGAGGCGUGAUGACGAGGCACUACGGUGCUGAAGCAACAAAUGCCCUGCUUCCAGGAAAAGCCUCUAAGCAUCAGGUAACAUCAAAUCGUACCCCAAACCGACACAGGUGGUCAGGUAGAGAAUACCAAGGCGCUUGAGAGAACUCGGGUGAAGGAACUAGGCAAAAUGGUGCCGUAACUUCGGGAGAAGGCACGCUGAUAUGUAGGUGAGGUCCCUCGCGGAUGGAGCUGAAAUCAGUCGAAGAUACCAGCUGGCUGCAACUGUUUAUUAAAAACACAGCACUGUGCAAACACGAAAGUGGACGUAUACGGUGUGACGCCUGCCCGGUGCCGGAAGGUUAAUUGAUGGGGUUAGCGGUAACGCGAAGCUCUUGAUCGAAGCCCCGGUAAACGGCGGCCGUAACUAUAACGGUCCUAAGGUAGCGAAAUUCCUUGUCGGGUAAGUUCCGACCUGCACGAAUGGCGUAAUGAUGGCCAGGCUGUCUCCACCCGAGACUCAGUGAAAUUGAACUCGCUGUGAAGAUGCAGUGUACCCGCGGCAAGACGGAAAGACCCCGUGAACCUUUACUAUAGCUUGACACUGAACAUUGAGCCUUGAUGUGUAGGAUAGGUGGGAGGCUUUGAAGUGUGGACGCCAGUCUGCAUGGAGCCGACCUUGAAAUACCACCCUUUAAUGUUUGAUGUUCUAACGUUGACCCGUAAUCCGGGUUGCGGACAGUGUCUGGUGGGUAGUUUGACUGGGGCGGUCUCCUCCUAAAGAGUAACGGAGGAGCACGAAGGUUGGCUAAUCCUGGUCGGACAUCAGGAGGUUAGUGCAAUGGCAUAAGCCAGCUUGACUGCGAGCGUGACGGCGCGAGCAGGUGCGAAAGCAGGUCAUAGUGAUCCGGUGGUUCUGAAUGGAAGGGCCAUCGCUCAACGGAUAAAAGGUACUCCGGGGAUAACAGGCUGAUACCGCCCAAGAGUUCAUAUCGACGGCGGUGUUUGGCACCUCGAUGUCGGCUCAUCACAUCCUGGGGCUGAAGUAGGUCCCAAGGGUAUGGCUGUUCGCCAUUUAAAGUGGUACGCGAGCUGGGUUUAGAACGUCGUGAGACAGUUCGGUCCCUAUCUGCCGUGGGCGCUGGAGAACUGAGGGGGGCUGCUCCUAGUACGAGAGGACCGGAGUGGACGCAUCACUGGUGUUCGGGUUGUCAUGCCAAUGGCACUGCCCGGUAGCUAAAUGCGGAAGAGAUAAGUGCUGAAAGCAUCUAAGCACGAAACUUGCCCCGAGAUGAGUUCU
rnacentral:rRNA from 1 species